ACUUUUCAGCUUUAUCCUAAGGUUACGAACCCGUACAAAUCCAAAGGAAGAAGAGGAUCCUGAAGCAGAGGUUGAAGGUUCCACCAGCUUUGAACCAGUUCACCAAGACCCUUGACAAGAACCUAGGCAGGAAGUCUUGUUUUUAGAUAAUGAGAUUGCCUUUAAUGA